rnacentral:rRNA from 2 species
AGCAGCCGCGGUAAUUCCAGCUCCAAUAGCGUAUAUUAAAGUUGUUGCAGUUAAAAAGCUCGUAGUUGAAUUUCGGGGUUAGUAGGUUGGUCAUGCCUCUGGUAUGUACUGGUCUCACUGAUUCCUCCUUCCUGAUGAGCCGUAAUGCCAUUAAUUUGGUGUUGCGGGGAAUUUGGACUGUUACUUUGAAAAAUUAGAGUGUUUAAAGCAAGCUAACGCUUGAAUACAUUAGCAUGGAAUAAUGAAAUAGGACGUUCGAUCCUAUUUUGUUGGUUUCUAGGAUUGACGUAAUGAUUAAUAGGGAUAGUUGGGGGCAUUAGUAUUCAAUUGUCAGAGGUGAAAUUCUUGGAUUUAUUGAAGACUAACUACUGCGAAAGCAUUUGCCAAGGAUGUUUUCAUUAAUCAAGAACGAAAGUUAGGGGAUCGAAGACGAUCAGAUACCGUCGUAGU